CCUACGGGAGGCAGCCGUGAGGAAUAUUGGUCAAUGGGCGCUAGCCUGAACCAGCCAAGUAGCGUGAAGGAUGACUGCCCUAUGGGUUGUAAACUUCUUUUAUAUGGGAAUAAAGUGCAGUAUGUAUACUGCUUUGCAUGUACCUUAUGAAUAAGGAUCGGCUAACUCCGUGCCAGCAGCCGCGGUAAUACGGAGGAUCCGAGCGUUAUCCGGAUUUAUUGGGUUUAAAGGGAGCGUCGGCGGGUUGUUGAGUCAGUUGGGAAAGUUUGCGGCUCAACCGUAGAAUUGCAGUUGAAACUGGGAUGAUUGAAUACAGUAGGGGUAAGCGGAAUUCGGGGUGUAGCGGUGAAAUG
rnacentral:rRNA from 1 species